AUGCAUCUUCAUCCGCCGGAGGAGCUGGCGCUUGCAAUGAAGCUCAGGGCGGACGGCGGCAGCAGCACGGAGGAAGAGUCGUCCAUCGCCAUGAAGCUGACGGAGGACGGCGGCAGCGAAGACGAGGAGGAGGAGCCUGCCCUCCCUGUGAACCUGCUCGAGCACCGUGGCGGCUCCUGCUCGGAGUUGGCUGACGGCGGCCUAGGCGGCUGGGCAUCGACCGGCUCGAGCACGCUCUCGGUGCACCACGACCACGCGCCGCCUCCGCUCUCGGCCACGGCGGAGGACGUGCCGUGCGCGCACAGGCGGAAGCCGAGCGGCCGGUACGUCCUCGCCGCGCACCGGGCGGACGAGAAGGACGGCCUAUGCCGGGAGAUGCCUUGCGCGCCCAAGCCCAAGGUCACGUACCGGGUGGCCGGCUGGGUUGCCCUGGAGGGUGGCCCCAGCGCGGACGGCGGCCACCCCGUGCACGUCGAGGUCCGCACGCACGACGGCGCGCGGGUCGGCGGCGGCGUGCUGGUGGCCGAGCCGGGGAAGUGGGCCGAGAUCAAGGGCGCGUUCCGGGUCGACGAGCACCCGCGCCACGCCGAGGUUUACGUCCAUGGCCCGCCGGCCGGGGUGGACAUCAAGGUCAUGGACAUGCGCGUGUGCGCCGUGGACAAGAUCGCAAGGCUCAGGCACCUCAGGAAGAAGACGGACAAGGUGCGCAAGCGUGAUGUGGUGCUCAAGUUCAACCCGCGGUCGGAGGACGGGGCCGACGCCGAUGCGGCGGCGGCGGCCGUGAAGGGCGCGUCCAUCCGCGUGGUGCAGGUGGAGAACAGCUUCCCGAUCGGCGCGUGCAUCAGCAAGUCGUCCAUCCAGAACCCGGCGUUCGUCGACUUCUUCACCAAGCACUUCGACUGGGCGGUGCUGGAGAACGAGCUCAAGUGGUAUUACACGGAGGCGGUGCAAGGGCAGGUGAGCUACGCCGACGCCGACGAGCUCAUCGCCUUCUGCGACCGGCUCAAGAAGCCGGUGCGCGGGCACUGCAUCUUCUGGGCCGUGGAGAACUCGGUGCAGCCGUGGGUCCGCGCCCUCAACACCGACCAGCUCAGGGCCGCCGUUGAGUCCCGCAUCCGGGGCCUCGUCUCCCGCUACAGCGGCCGCUUCCCGCACUACGAGGUGAACAACGAGAUGCUCCACGGCGCCUUCUUCCGGCAGCGCCUCGGCGACGACAUCGACGCGCACAUGUUCCGCGAGACGGCGGCGAUCGACCCGGCGCCGGCGCUGUUCGUCAACGACUACAACGUGGAGAGCGCCAACGACCCCAACGCGACGCCGGAGAAGUACGUGGCGCUGAUCACCGACCUGCAGAGGCGCGGCGCGGCCGUGGGCGGGAUCGGGGUGCAGGGCCACGUGACGUACCCGGUGGGCGACGUCAUCUGCGACGCGCUGGACAAGCUGGCGGCGACGGAGCUCCCCGUGUGGAUCACGGAGCUGGACGUGUCGGCGGCGGACGAGGCGGUGCGCGCCGACGACCUGGAGGUGGUGCUGCGGGAGGCGUUCGCGCACCCGGCCGUGGAGGGGAUCAUGCUCUGGGGGUUCAUGCAGGGCCACAUGUGGCGCUCCCACGGCCAGCUCGUCAACGCCGACGGCACGAUCAGCCAGGCCGGGAACAGGUUCAUGGGGCUCCGGCAGGAGUGGACGUCGCACGCGCGCGGGAAGGUGGACGCCAACGGCCACUUCAAGUUCAGGGGGUUCCACGGCAAGUACGUCGUGGAGCUGGCCGCCGGCGCCGGCGGGAAGCAGGUCAGGCGCGCGUUCGACGUUCACAAGGGGGACGAGCCGCUCGUCGUGGACAUGAACCUCUGA
rnacentral:rRNA from 1 species